AAUAAUAAAGAAAAAAAGUUUGAUUUUGCUGGAAUGAUCAUUACAAGAAUGUUGUCUCGGGAAGACAAACAGAAGGUAAAAGCAAGCGAGGGUCUAAUAAAUGAUACUGGCAGGCUGCAGAUAGACUGUGUGUCCAGAAAUAUUGUCUAUUUGCACUUUAGAGAAAGGACAGCAAAGAAAGAAAUAGCAGUAAUUUCCCAGGGCUGUGUAAGGGAGGGGAGCUGCCAAUCUGGUGGACGAGAGUAUUACCGUAUUACCUUCACUAGAGUGUUACCGUAUUACCUUCACUAGGCCGGUGAGUCCUGCCCCGAGGCAGGAACAGGCCUUACUUGUUUACUUAGCACACAGCCAUCGAGUGCUUACUGUGAACCAGGUGCUAUGGAUCAAGUGUGAGGAGGUGACAGCCCUGGAAAAUGAAUCCAGAUGGGAUUGAGACUUUGGCCUGCUGAGCCCGAGCAAGUGUGGUUUUCCCGUUGAUGUCGCCCUGCAGACAUGACCUGGACAGAGCUACUUGGGAGGCUGGGAUCACACCAUCCAUGCUCACAUGCUUUCUGGAGCCCUCCUGAGCACAUGGUAAGAUAGUCAUCCACAGUCAUGUGGAGAAGUGGGAUGCUGCUUGGAAAGCUUCUAAAAUGGAGCAGACUCCUACCCAGGAGGAAACCAGACUCCUGCCUGGAGGGACUUUUUACACCCCAUGACUUUAUAAAGAAAGAAAAUAGAUGAGGUGUUGUCGUCAGCCCCAUAGAAGCAGAACCUGAGUCAGGGAUUCUUACGCAAGGGAUUUAUUGAGAAAGGGCUCCCAGC